CGUCGAGUAGAAAAGCUCAGUUGGCACAAGUGACCAGCAAAUUGGUUGAACCUGUUCGGGCAAGAUUUCUGCGUAAUGAUGCGGAAUUUCAUACAGGAACGGACCAUUUUUCGAAUCCAUCGUUUUCAGCCGGUCAACGGAUGUCCCGGAUCAUGUAUUCAGAUACACGGUCCGGACAUCCUGUCGUCGAGACGGUUUAGAGGUGCAAAUCGUUCAACACAAGUGACCUGGUGAUCCGGAACAAGCCCCUACGACGUGCGGAAAGAUUUUUCCGGUGGUGUCGAGAAAAACCCCCUCGUUGUGAUGGUUACCGCAAUCCGUCGGUCACCGGUUUCGGGAAAAAUGAACGCGUUACCGAUAAUUUUCUGCAAGGCAAAGAUGGAAGGACCACUCGGUGUUAGCAAGCGGCUCGCUCCUGACGCAAGCUCGAAGUCGGUUCCGGCUGCUACUUGCCACACUCCAGGCACGUGAGAUGUCCCCCAACUCGAUCUACGUCCCAGCAUCCUUAAUCCGGACUCGGCCAAGCGUUUGCGACAGAAUUCAUUUCCGGCAGGCCAUUUUGAAAAGAUUUUGUUCGUUUAAUUAAGCAGUUCAUGAAAAAGUUUAUCGUUUAAAUCAUUACUCUUUGCCAUGUAAUUUAGAGCAUUUUUGAAAAUAAAAUUGACGUUUUUUGCUGUUU